rnacentral:tRNA from 4 species
CGGGAAGUGGCGCAGUCUGGUAGCGUACCUGCUUUGGGAGCAGGGGGCCGUGGGUUCGAAUCCCGCCUUCCCGACCA